rnacentral:rRNA from 1 species
UACGUAGGGUGCGAGCGUUAAUCGGAAUUACUGGGCGUAAAGCGUGCGCAGGCGGUUUUGUAAGCCAGAUGUGAAAGCCCCGGGCUCAACCUGGGAAUGGCAUUUGGGACUGCAAGGCUGGAGUGUGGCAGAGGAGACUGGAAUUCCUGGUGUAGCAGUGAAAUGCGUAGAUAUCAGGAGGAACACCGAUGGCGAAGGCAGGUCUCUGGGCUGACACUGACGCUCAUGCACGAAAGCGUGGGGAGCAAACAGG